GGGCAACACUGUUUAAAAAUGAUACAUAAACUGGGCAGAAACAAUGCACUCAGUUCUUCAAACCAGGGAGGAUACCAUUAAUACACAUGAGAAGGAAUCUCUUGAUAACCAUUGGUCUUACCCCUUAUAAGAGAUUGUGGCUCAUCGUUAAAAGACAAAGAAAAGCUUAUUUAGCAAAGAGAUUGUUCUUUGUUAAGAGCAAAAUGGCGAAGUUUAUUUUUUAAUUUGAAGGAAGAGACUGAAGAGUUCCUGCAAACCUUACCAUUUGAGCUGGCAUCAGAGUUGUCACAGCAGAAGUAGAAAGAAUCCAGCACUUGUGUCCCAGGGAACAAGCUUCUAGAAUUUUGGUCAUUAUGAGUGUGAUUCACUUGGUGAAUCAGUGGCUUUCUGUGAUUUCAAAUAAUGAUAACAAGCAUGGGAGGAAGGCAGCAGCAUUGUUCAGAGCAAUCAGUCUGUCAUUUGGGUGCUCAACUGAAUGAGGAGAAAACACAUAGGUAUUUGGAAGCAUGUACUUAUCCUAGUAACGGAAAACAGUGCCUGUUCAUUCUUGAUGCCUGCUGCAUUACUAAAAGCUACCUUGCUGCUAUGUCUCAUUACGUGCUACAGUCAGACCCACUGUGGAAGUAUUACUACUGGCUAUUGCUUUUUCUUCAUGUGAAAUAUCUGGUCUUAUCUCCCACCUGCUGGAGAUGUGCAAUUGGGUUCUUUAAUUUCUUCCCACCUAUUGAAGGGACAAAAUCCACCUCAAAUAUGCCAGUGGAAAAAGAGUAUUUAAAAUGAAGACUCUACUAUCACACCAUUUCUCUUUCCCACUGUUGGGAUUUUACCUCCACUUUCUUUAACAGAGAUGGAACUGGAAAAAGCUAUCCCCACAUCUAUUCAGGUCCACCUAUUUUUCAGCUCCUAACAGACAUGGAUGAGGUUGGGAGGUGGGAGGUAAAAAUGCCCAUCACCCUACUGUCACUGGUUAGUGGACAGUUUCCAGUACCUGCCCACAACCUCCUAGUCAGCUGAUUUCUAGGCACCUGAAAUAUGUCAUUUUUUCCUUUGAUCCUUACCAGGAAUACAGGCCACUCUCCCAGUCUUGCAGGGACCAAUGAAUCAUGACCUCUUAUAGAUCUUUCGUAAUCCUACUGCAGAAGAGGAGCCACCAAAGCCUUGAUUGGUUCUGGGCUUAUGGAUUUCAUAUUUUGCAAAAGCUGUUACAAAAUAUUAUCUAACACUGGGUGUUAAUGCAACUGAUGAGUUAUUGAAAACUACAUCUGAAACUAUGAUGUACUGUAUGUUAGCUAAUUGAAUUUAAAUUAAAAAUAUUAUCUAAAUGUUUAUUCUUUUUUUCAUUCAGGAGUUUCACUUGACAUCAGGAGUUCUUAGCAUGGAUUUUAUAAGUUAACUUCAGGAGUCCAUAGCCCUCAGAAUUGUAUUGUAUAAAUUCAUUUUUUUUUUCUAGGAAAAGAUUCAGAUUCUCAAAGGGGCUCAGAGACGGCCACAAUACUAUGAAUUGUUGGUUUUUAGUACCUAAAUACAUUUGACUUAAGCAGAAAAUUCUCUACCUAUUUUUAUCCUUUUGCUAUUGUUUUGCAUGAUCCAGACUCUGUCUUCACAGAGCUAAUCUUGAUAGAAACACACACGGAACUGCCGCAUUUGAGUCUGAUAUUUGGUAUUACCACAUAUGUUCCAAAUCAUUAAUAUAACAAAGACAAUAAAUCAUUCUUUUGGUAUUUGUUAUUUUUAAAU
ensembl:lncRNA